AGUUUGAUCAUGGCUCAGAUUGAACGCUGGCGGUAUGCUUAACACAUGCAAGUCGGACGGUAGCAGGCCUUCGGGCGCUGACGAGUGGCGGACGGGUGAGUAAUGCAUAGGAAUCUGCCUAUUAGUGGGGGACAACGUGGGGAAACUCACGCUAAUACCGCAUACGCCCUACGGGGGAAAGCUGGGGGACCUUCGGGCCUGGCGCUAAUAGAUGAGCCUAUGUUGGAUUAGCUAGUUGGUAGGGUAAAGGCCUACCAAGGCGACGAUCCAUGGCUGGUCUGAGAGGAUGAUCAGCCACACUGGGACUGAGACACGGCCCAGACUCCUACGGGAGGCAGCAGUGGGGAAUAUUGGACAAUGGGCGAAAGCCUGACGCAGCCAACCCGCGUGUGUGAUGAAGGCCUUCGGGUUGUAAAGCACUGUCGUGAGGGAAGAAGAUCUGACGGUACCUCACAAGAAAGCACCGGCUAACUCCGUG
rnacentral:rRNA from 1 species